rnacentral:rRNA from 1 species
UACAGAGGUCUCAAGCGUUGUUCGGAAUUACUGGGCGUAAAGCGCGUGUAGGCGGUGCGGUAAGUCGGGUGUGAAAGCCCUGGGCUCAACCCAGGAAGUGCAUUCGAUACUACCGUACUAGAGUCCCGGAGAGGUUGGUGGAACUCUCGGUGUAGAGGUGAAAUUCGUAGAUAUCGAGAAGAACACCGGUGGCGAAGGCGGCCAACUGGACGGUGACUGACGCUGAGACGCGAAAGCGUGGGGAGCAAACAGG